rnacentral:rRNA from 1 species
GAUGAACGCUAGCUACAGGCUUAACACAUGCAAGUCGAGGGACCGGCGCACGGGUGAGUCACACGUAUCCAACCUGCCCUUUACUCGGGGAUAGCCUUUCGAAAGAAAGAUUAAUACCCGAUAUAAAGGAUGGGGAUGCGUUCCGUUAGGUUGUUGGUGAGGUAACGGCACACCACGCCUUCGCUGGAUAGGGGUUCUGAGAGGAAGGUCACCGGCAUUGGAACUGAGACACGGUCCAAACGCCUACGGGAGGCAGCGGUGAGGAAUAUUGGUCAAGGGGCGCUAGCCUGAACCAGCCAAGUAGCGUGAAGGAUGAAGGCUUAUGGGUCGUUAACUUCUUUUAUAUAAGAAGAUGUAUUAUAUGAAUAAGGAACGGCUAACUCCGUGCCAGCAGCCGCGGUAAUUC